rnacentral:tRNA from 1 species
GGCGGGAUAGCUCAAUUUGGCUAGAGCGCGCGGCUCAUGACCGUGAGGUUCAGGGUUCGACUCCCUGUCCCGCCA